ensembl:lncRNA
GGAGGAAAAUAAUCGUUGGCUCCAACAUGCUGACACGUUGAGGGAGACUUUGCUGGUGUGUGGUCUUCCCAGCUGACCACAGGCAGGCGUGAAUGGUGUGGCUGAGGAAGGGAGGUCCUCAAAGCUGCACAAGCUCAGAGCCUUGAGGAGCUCCCGGGGGUUAGAGCCCCACGGACGGCUCUAGUUCUCCUAUCCUGUGUCCUGUCGGGGUCUCAGAGCAGGGACGUGUUCUUGGACUCCUCCGCUCUCCGAGAACCUGAAGCCAGAGAUGCUGACCUCUGCCAAAAGGGCUCCCCGUGAAGCAUUCCUGACCUUCAGACUCGCCUGGCCGUGUGCUGGCCCCGUGCCCGUGACAAUCACUUCUUGCCUGGGUGUUUACCUUCCUGCGCCUGUGGGCCCAGCCAGGGUGGCGGCCCCACACCUGAACCAGAGGCCAUGCAGGAGGGAAGGUGCUGCCCACGGUGAAGGCCAGGAGCAGCUGGUGCUGCAACCGGGCACAAGAGAUGAUGCUGUGAAAGUGCUGCACUCAAUAUGCCAGCAAAUUUGGAAAACUCAGCAGUGGCCACAGGACUGGAAAAGGUCAGUUUUCAUUCCAUCCCAAGGAAAGACAGUGCCAAAGAAUGUUCAGACUACCACACAAUUGCACUCAUCUCACACGCUAACAAAGUAAUGCUUAAAAUUCUCCAAGCCAGGCUUCAAAAGUACAUGAACCAAGAACUUCCAGAUGUUGAAGCUGGAUUUAGAGAAGGCAGAGGAACCAGAGAUCAAAUUGCCAACAUCCAUUGGAUCAUGGAAAAAGCAAGAGAGUUCCAGAAAAACAUCUACUUCUGCUUUAUUGACUAUGCCAAAGCCUUUGAGUGUGUGGAUCACAAUAAACUGUGGAAAAUUCUGAAAGAGUUGGGAAUACCAGACCACCUGACCUGCCUCUUGAGAAGUUUGUAUGCAGGUCAGAAAGCAACAGUUAGAACUGGACAUGGAACAACAAACUGGUUCCAAAUAGGAAAAGGAGUACGUCAAGGCUGUAUAUUGUCACCCUGCUUAUUUAACUUAUAUGCAGAGUACAUCAUGAGAAAUGCUGGGCUGAAGGAAGCACAGCUGGAAUCAAGAUUGCCGGGAGAAAUAUCAAUAACCUCAGAUAUGCAGAUGACACCACCCUUAUGGCAGAAAGCGAAGAAGAACUAAAGAGCCUCUUGAUGAAAGUGAAAGAGGAGAGUGAAAAAGUUGCCUUAAAACUCAACAUUCAGAAAACUGAGAUCAUGGCAUCCGGUCCCAUCACUUCAUGGGAAAUUCAUGGGGAAACAAUGGAAACAAUGACAGACUUUACUGUGUUGGGCUCCAAAAUCAUGGCAGAUGGUGACUGCAUCCAUGAAAUAAAAAGACGCUUGCUCCUUGGAAGAAAAGCUAUGACCAACCUAGACAGCACAUUAAAAAGCAGAGAUAUUACUUUGUCAGCAAAGGUGCAUCUAGUAAAAGCUAUGGUUUUUCCAGUCGUUGUAUACAGAUGUGAGAGUUGGACUAUAAAGAAGGCUGAGGACCAAAGAACUGAUGCUUUUGAGCUGUGGUGUUGGAGAAGACUCUUGAGAGUCCCUUGGACUGCAAGGAGAUCCAACCAGUCCAUCCUAAAGGAAAUCAGUCCUGAAUAUUCAUUGGAAGGACUGAUGCUGAAGCUGAAACUCCAAUACUUUGGUCACCUGAUGCGAAGAACUGACUCAUUGGAAAAGACCCUGAUGCUGGGAAAGAUUGAAAGCAGGAGGAGAAGGGGAUGACAGAGGAUGACAUAGUUGGAUGGCAUCCCUGACUCUAUGGACAUGAGUUUGAGUAAGCUCUGAGAGUUGGUGAACGACAGGGAAACCUGGUGUGCUGCAGUCCACGGGGUCAAAAAGAGUUGGACAUGACUGAACGACUGAACUGAACUGAUUAAUAUAUAUUUGUAUUUUUAUAUAUUUUAUAUGAAGUUUAUAUAUUAUAUCUAUAUCUAUAUCUAUUUUUAAGUGGCCUCCUAGGUGCUAAUGGUAAAGAAUCCACCUGCCAAUUCAGGAGACAAGAGCUGUGAAAGUUGCUCAGUCGUGUCUGACUCUUUGCCACCCCAUGGGCUGGCUGUUCAGUCCUUGGAAUUCUCCAGGCCGGAAUACUGGAGUGGGUAGCCAUUACCUUCUCCAGGGAAUCUUCCCAACCCAGGGAUUGAACCCAGGUCUCCCACAUUGUAGGCAGAUUCUUUACUGUCUGAGUCAGCCAGGAAGUCCAAGAAUACUGGAGUGGGUAGCCUAUCCCUUCUCCAGCAGAUCUUCCCAACCCAGGAAUCAAAUGGGUCUCCUGAAUUCUUUACCAAUUGUAGAUUCUUUAUCAACUGAGCUACCAAGGGACAAGAGACAUGGGUUCAAUUGCUGGGUCUGGAAGAUCCACAUGGACAGAGGAGCCUGGCAGGCUACAGUCCAUGGAGUCAGACACAAGUGAAGUGACUUAAUACAUACAUAGUUUAUAUACUUUAUAUUUUAUAUAUAGUAGCAUGUAUAUCGGAGAAGGCAAUGGCACCCCACUCCAGUACUCUCGCCUGGAAAAUCCCAUGGAUGGAGGAGCCUGGUGGGCUGCAGUCCAUGGGGUCGCUAAGUCGGACACGGCUAAGCGACUUCACUUUCACUUUUCAUUUUCAUGCAUUGGAGAAGGAAAUGGCAACCCACUCCAGUGUUCUUGCCUGGAGAAUCCCAGGGACGGGGGAGCCUGGUGGGCUGCUGUCUAUGGGGUUGCACAGAGUCGGACACGACUGAAGCGACUU